CUACGGGGGGCAGCAGUGGGGAAUUUUGCGCAAUGGGGGAAACCCUGACGCAGCAAUACCGCGUGAGUGAAGAAGGCCUUUGGGUCGUAAAGCUCUUUUCUUGGGGAAGAUAGUGACGGUACCCAAGGAAUAAGCACCGGCUAACUCCAUGCCAGCAGCCGCGGUAAUACGGAGGGUGCAAGCGUUGUUCGGAUUUACUGGGCGUAAAGGGCACGUAGGCGGCACAGCAAGUUAAGGGUGAAAUCCCGGGGCUCAACUCCGGAACUGCUCUUAAAACUGCUGAGCUAGAGAUAGUCAGAGGCGGGUGGAAUUCCAGGUGUAGAGGUGAAAUUCGUAGAUAUCUGGAGGAACACCGGUGGCGAAGGCGGCCCGCUGGGGCUAUUCUGACGCUAAGGUGCGAAAGCGUGGGGAGCAAACGGGAUUAGAUACCCCAGUAGUC
rnacentral:rRNA from 1 species